GAUGAACGCUAGCGGCAGGCCUAAUACGUGCAAGUCGGACGGGAUUGAGAAGCUUGCUUUUCAUGAGAGUGGCGCACGGGUGCGUAACACAUAUGUAACCUACCCAUAUCAGGGGGAUAGCCUCUCGAAAGAGAGAUUAAGACCGCAUAACAUUAUUGAAUGGCAUCAUUUAAUAAUCAAAUAUUUAUAGGAUAUGGAUGGGCAUGCGGAACAUUAGCUAGUUGGUAAGGUAACGGCUUACCAAGGCUACGAUGUUUAGGGGAUCUGAGAGGAUGACCCCCCACACUGGUACUGAGACACGGACCAGACUCCUACGGGAGGCAGCAGUAAGUAAUAUUGGUCAAUGGGCGGAAGUCUGAACCAGCCACGCCGCGUGCAGGAAGACGGCCCUAUGGGUUGUAAACUGCUUUUGCAGGGGAAUAAACCUCGAUACGUGUAUCGAGCUGAAUGUACUCUGAGAAUAAGGAUCGGCUAACUCCGUGCCAGCAGCCGCGGUAA
rnacentral:rRNA from 1 species